ACUUAGAUAGCUUAAAUAAAGCACCGGUCUUGUAAGCCGAAGAUUGGGAGAUUAUUCCUCCCUCUCAGUA
rnacentral:tRNA from 1 species